UUUGAUCUUGUAGCUGGGUGCGACGGGAAAAAGAAACAAUUUGGUCUCCACUUGCCCCUGGGUGCGACGAGAACCAGUCGGAGAGGCUAACAGUGCUUCGUUCCAAGGGAAUCAACUAGAUCUAGAGAGGCUAAACUAGCGUCAUCUCAGUUCACCGUUCAAUCUCAGUUCAUCGACUCAAUCUCAUUCUCAGAGAGAUGAGAUUGGUUAGAGAGAAGAAUGAGGGUUUGGGAGAGUGAGGCCACUGGGCGAGAGCUAGCUAGGAAUUUCGUUUGGCUUUGGGUAUGUUGAGAUAGAGAGGAUUCCGGUUUUGGAUUAGGUGUGUCGAGAGUGAGGCCACUGGGCGAGAGCUAGCUAGGUCUUGUUUUUGGAUCUGUCGACAGUGAGGUGAGUCAAUUAACAUAGAGCAAGGGCUAGCUGUCG
rnacentral:lncRNA from 1 species